GACGAACGCUGGCGGCGUGCUUAACACAUGCAAGUCGAACGGAAAGGCCCUGCUUGCAGGGUACUCGAGUGGCGAACGGGUGAGUAACACGUGGGUGAUCUGCCCUGCACUUCGGGAUAAGCCUGGGAAACUGGGUCUAAUACCGGAUAGGAGCCAUUUUUAGUGUGAUGGUUGGAAAGUUUUUUCGGUGUAGGAUGAGCUCGCGGCCUAUCAGCUUGUUGGUGGGGUAAUGGCCUACCAAGGCGGCGACGGGUAGCCGGCCUGAGAGGGUGGACGGCCACAUUGGGACUGAGAUACGGCCCAGACUCCUACGGGAGGCAGCGGUGGGGAAUAUUGCACAAUGGGCGCAAGCCUGAUGCAGCGACGCCGCGUGGGGGAUGACGGCCUUCGGGUUGUAAACUCCUUUCGCUAGGGACGAAGCUUUUUGUGACGGUACCUAGAGAAGAAGCACCGGCUAACUACGUG
rnacentral:rRNA from 1 species